rnacentral:rRNA from 1 species
UACGAAGGGGGCUAGCGUUGCUCGGAAUUACUGGGCGUAAAGGGCGCGUAGGCGAUUUGAAAAGUCUUGUGUGAAAGCCCCGAGCUUAACUCGGGAAGUGCACAAGAAACUGUUGAAUUUGAGUUCCGGAGAGGAAGGCAGAAUUCCCGGUGUAGCGGUGAAAUGCGUAGAUAUCGGGAGGAAUACCAGUGGCGAAGGCGGCCUUCUGGACGGAUACUGACGCUGAGGCGCGAAA